UACGUAGGGUGCAAGCGUUAAUCGGAAUUACUGGGCGUAAAGCGUGCGUAGACGGUUACGUAAGUCAGAUGUGAAAGCCCCGGGCUCAACCUGGGAAUUGCAUUUGAGACUGCGUAGCUAGGGUGCGGAAGAGGGAAGCGGAAUUUCCGGUGUAGCGGUGAAAUGCGUAGAUAUCGGAAGGAACACCAGUGGCGAAAGCGGCUCCUGGUCCAGCACCGACGUUCAGGCACGAAAGCGUGGGGAGCAAACAGG
rnacentral:rRNA from 1 species